rnacentral:rRNA from 1 species
AUUGAACGCUGGCGGCAUGCCUUACACAUGCAAGUCGAACGGCAGCACGGGAGCAAUCCUGGUGGCGAGUGGCGAACGGGUGAGUAAUAUAUCGGAACGUGCCCAGUCGUGGGGGAUAACGUAGCGAAAGCUACGCUAAUACCGCAUACGAUCUAUGGAUGAAAGCGGGGGAUCGCAAGACCUCGCGCGAUUGGAGCGGCCGAUAUCAGAUUAGGUAGUUGGUGAGGUAAAGGCUCACCAAGCCGACGAUCUGUAGCUGGUCUGAGAGGACGACCAGCCACACUGGGACUGAGACACGGCCCAGACUCCUACGGGAGGCAGCAGUGGGGAAUUUUUGGGACAAUGGGCGCAAGCCUGAUCCAGCAAUGCCGCGUGCAGGAUGAAGGCCUUCGGUU